UAAUAAGACAGGUAUACAUGGUAUACAUGAUUUACUUUGUCUCUCUUUUUUUAUCUUUAUUUAUACCCUGCCCUUCUUUUGUUUACAACCCAACCCUAUGCUUUCACUCGAUUUAGUAUCUAUUUUUAUGUGAAUGGCAGUGACAUUUAUUUUCAUCAUUAAUAAAAGUUAUAAAAAUAAAGCCCUUCAAUCAUCAAGACAAUGUUACACAAAAUGUUUACAUUGCAAAAGUAUAUAAAUUAUAAUGUACUUAAAUUUAAUAACACUGCACAAAAAAUUGUCAAGGAAU
rnacentral:lncRNA from 1 species